rnacentral:rRNA from 1 species
GAUGAACGCUAGCGGCAGGCUUAACACAUGCAAGUCGAGGGGUAUAGGUUUUCGGACCUAGAGACCGGCGCACGGGUGCGUAACGCGUAUGCAAUCUACCUUUUGCAGAGGGAUAGCCCAGAGAAAUUUGGAUUAAUACCUCAUAGUGUAUUGAGUUGGCAUCAACACAAUACUAAAGUUCCAACGGCAAAAGAUGAGCAUGCGUCCCAUUAGCUAGAUGGUAAGGUAACGGCUUACCAUGGCUACGAUGGGUAGGGGUCCUGAGAGGGAGAUCCCCCACACUGGUACUGAGACACGGACCAGACUCCUACGGGAGGCAGCAGUGAGGAAUAUUGGACAAUGGGCGCAAGCCUGAUCCAGCCAUGCCGCGUGCAGGAUGACGGUCCUAUGGAUUGUAAACUGCUUUUACACAGGAAGAAACAACGCUACGUGUAGCGUCUUGACGGUACUGUGAGAAUAAGGAUCGGCUAACUCCGUG